AUGAAGCUUCUUUGUUGGCAAAAAUCAAUCCAUGGUUCUUAAAACAAACAUGGAGAGAAGUGUGAGAGGGUAUUAAACAAAAACCCUACACACUCUCCCUCCAUUUUCCUAAACAGUUUGCUUUGUGCUUUAGCUUUUGGCUUCUCAUAUCACAAAGGGAUUAUGCUUUUUUCUGAGUAGCAGAAGCAAAUAAUUAAGCAUUUUUCUCCAAAGGAUCAGAAGCUUUUGUUAUAGCAUGGCAAACCGGCAAGUCACAAAAAGGCAAUGGAUUCCUUUUUGGAGUCUU
rfam:Medicago truncatula strain A17 chromosome 5, whole genome shotgun sequence.